rnacentral:lncRNA from 10 species
CCGGGGGCGCCCUCUACUGCGGCGUCUCCUCAGCGAGUGCCUCCUCUCCCUCUCCUUCCCGAUACCGGGUCACACCCUGAUCCAAGCUGGAGUGCAGUGGCCCUAUCAACUCACUGCAGCCUCGACCUCCUGGGCUCAAGGGAUCUUACUGCCUCAGCCCCACCACUAGCUGGAACUACAGGCCCAUGCCACCACACUCAGCUAAUUAGUAGUAUUUAUUUAUUUAUUUGUUUAUUUAUUCUUAGUGGAGAUGAGGUUUUCCUAGGUCGACCAGACUGGUCUCCAAUCCCUGGGCUCAAGCAUUCCUCCCACCUUGGCCUCCCAAAGAGCUGGGAUUACAGCCGUGAGCCACAGUGCCUGACCAAAAAAAUACAUUUUAAAUUGACUUGCUUAUCUGCAUUUGAAAAUUCACUAUUCUAAUAACAAAGAGGCUGUGUCCCAAAAAUCACACAGAUAGGAGGCAAAAAGCCACCAUUACAAGUAUCCCAGCUCAAGCCAAGUUCCCCAGCCAUCACUUCCAUCUUGGAAGCCACCCCGCCUUUCUUCACAUGGUCAUUCACCCAGGUACCAUCUCCAGCCCCCUGAAGUGUAAUGGUAAUUCGAUCUUUCUCAGCCUUUGUGAAGGGCAGUUCAACUGUUUCAGUCUCCCUGGCUGCUACCCAAAUAAACGUACUCCCAAAGAGAAGGAACUAGCCCUCUAAUGAUUUAUGCAGCCAUUCAGACCUUUAUUAAAAGGAGCUUUUGCUCUCUUAGGAUUUAUUCUCUUUCUGACAGCGGCACUGUUAUCUACUGUGCCAUAUAGUAUCAAAAGUAAUUUAAACAAGUAGUUUCAAAUAUAAAUUAAAGCAGAA